UACGUAGGGUGCGAGCGUUAAUCGGAAUUACUGGGCGUAAAGCGUGCGCAGGCGGUUUUGUAAGACAGAUGUGAAAGCCCCGGGCUUAACCUGGGAAUGGCAUUUGGGACUGCAAGGCUUGAGUGCGGCAGAGGAGACUGGAAUUCCUGGUGUAGCAGUGAAAUGCGUAGAUAUCAGGAGGAGUACCGAUGGCGAAGGCAGGUCUCUGGGCUGACACUGACGCUCAUGCACGAAAGCGUGGGGAGCAAACAGG
rnacentral:rRNA from 1 species